GUCUGAUCCUGUCCGACCGUUGGUUAAUUAUAUUGUGGAGCAUAAACUUAGACCAGCAAUAUCAGACAAGGAAGGUUAUUUCGUAGUUAUGCCAGAUGACAUGUUUUCAGAAAAAGCUUAUCAGCUAUAGAAAAUAAUUUUCAGCCAGUAAAACUCAAGCCUUCAGCAGUUAAGCAACGUGCGGUUGACCUCCCAUUAAGACAUAAUCUAGAUAGCAUUGUCUCUGAUGUCAAGAAAGCAAAAUCGCGCACCUUAGAACUGUUUUUCUCGGCGAAGACCCAUAAGCAAGAGAUUCCUUUUCAUGCUAUAUAGUACCAGAGAAAGGGACAUGGCAGGUGUGUGUGGCUAGUUACCUGCAGAACUGCUUAGCUUCACUAGUUUUCUCAGACCCCUUUCGCUUGUGUAAUUCUCAGGCAUUAGUUCAGUUUUUGACAGAGGAAAAUCCUGGUGAUUGUACAGCUUUUAGUAUGGAUAUCGAAGACUUGUAUUACUCCUUGCCACAUGACGGGUUGUUAAAUUCCGUAAAGGAGUGCAUUAAAGAACAAACGCAAGAGUCGGUUUUUAUAGACAGAUGCGGCGUUUCCACGGGUGCUUUUCUAGAAAUUCUUUCAAUGUACUUAAAGUCGACGCUGGUGGGGUGGAGAGAUGGCGUGUUUCUGCAGAAAUCAGGAAUUUGUAUUGGUUCAAGGGUUGCCCCUGUUCUUAGUGAUAUUUACCUGAGCAAGAUCGACAGCUGCUUAGAUCGACGCUGAUAAUUACCUGAUUUUCUGCAAUAGGGAUGAAUUUGAUUCCACUGUUAGCUCAGUAAGUGGGCAAUUUAAACUUAAUGGAGGAGGACUAAAGUUUACAAAGGAAUUGCCUCAGAAAAACGUUAUACAGUUUCUUGACAUUUCCUUGGUCUUCGAACAAAAUCACGUGUAUUGGCAGUACUCCCCUAGAUUGUCGAAGUCAUUGUUAAACUUUCAAUCCAAGCAUUCCAAAGUAGUAAAAAACGGAAUUGCCAUGUCGUGCCUUAAGUCUUCUCUCACCAGAUCGUGCAUGCACAAAAUGAGCACCAGUUUUAAUGCACAGGCCCGGCACCUAUUAGAAGUAGGUUAUCCUAGUGUGGGAGUGGCCACUGUAGCUGAACGCCUAAAGAAGUCGAUUUCGCGGGGGACGGACGUGAUUACAGAAAGCAGUAUUAGCAA
rnacentral:lncRNA from 1 species